rnacentral:lncRNA from 1 species
GAGAAGCAUAGAAGGACACUCAAUCCCAAAGUAAGCCAGCAUUCAUAGAGUGCCCAUAAAAUCCUUGCAUUUCUCUCUAUCCAAACAGCCCAAAAAUGGGAUUGUACUAAUGACCCCUUAUUUUGAAAAACAUAUACAAUGCUUCCUAAGUAGAUUUUCCCAAGACUAGAUCUCUAAUACCCAAUUUUAUGACUAGCAAGAUUAAUGACCACUAUUAAAAUUGAUAGUUUCCACACUCCUAAAAGUGUUUACAAAUCAUCUUAAACAGUUCCGCUUGUCUUAAUAAUUUAACUGUGAUGAGAGAGAGAGAGAGAGAGAGAGAGAGAGAGAGAGAGAGAGAGAGAGAGAGGAGUAUAAUCCGAUAGAAAAAUGGGUUAAAAAUGGUUAACCGGUUAAUUAACUAAAUUUAUUUUAAAAAAUAUGGGUUGAAACUUUAACCAACCUGAAUAAAUAAAAAUAGUUAACCGACCCAUUUGGUUCCAGUUAAUAUAGUUUGACACAACAGUUAACUAUUUAUAUUGCCAAGUUUAUGUAUCAUACAAUUAGAUGACGCAAUUAAAAAAAUUAUUUCACACUGCCUAUUAAAUUUGGUUAACUGAUAUGUUUCAAUUUACAUGAGGUGACAUAAUCUGGUCAUUUUCUUGCAACAUAAUAUUUGUACUGCUAUAUCUAUAACCAAGGAUAAGCCACCCCUCCUCUGCCUACUCGAUAUCAUUUACAGCAUCCUGAAGCAUUUACAGCAUGAAAAUUAAGUCAAUAAAUAAUUUAGCAAAAAAAAAAAGAAAGAAAAUUAAGUCAAUAAAAAGCACACCAUGAUGCGAAAUUCAGCAUUUAAAGAGUAUUACAAGGAAAAUGCUGGAGGUGUUACCUUUGCUAGCCGUGUUACGUAAGUUGCCGCUAGUGCUGUUGCCAAUAGUCCUAAACCAAGUGUCCAUAGCUGACCAUUUCCACCUGAUAAACCGAUAUCUGAUUCUUCUUGCAGAGAGAGAGAGAGAGAGAGAGAGAGAGAGAGAGAGAGAGGAGAGAGAGAGAAUUCUUACAUGCUUGAGAGUAGAUAGCUCAGAUUCCAACUGUCGAAUGUAAUCCAGAGUUCCAG